rnacentral:tRNA from 1 species
GAUGAGAUCAGCUAACAAAGCUUUUGGGCCCAUACCCCAAACAUGAUGGUUAAAAUCCUUCUCACAUCA